rnacentral:lncRNA from 1 species
AAGUGCUAAAAGACCGUAUCUACAAAAUCAAGUCCCUGUUUUUUUAAUAAAGAAUUUUUGGAAUUCGAUGUCUGAUAUAAAUAGAAAACGAAAAAAUAUACAAUUUUUGAUAAAGAAAAUUUGAAGUCUCUCUUUCAGAAACAAAAUCAAAAUAAAAAACAUAGUCCUUAAAGCAUUUUUUUUCAAAAUUCCAAAGAAAAGGAAGUUAGCUUAUUUACCUUAUUUUCACGAACUACGCUUGGUCUAAUUCGUGCGGGGUCGCGAUACGUAGGCAAUCCUUAUCAGAUUCGACCGUAACCAUAAGAGAAAAACAAAAAGAGAGGGAAGAAAAUAGAGGAAAAACAAAAGAAACAAAAAGCGGAAGAAAAUCUAAAAAAAAUAGAGCGGAGGAAAAUCAAAGAAAACUCAUGGCAGAAAAAAUGGAAAUACAGAAAAUGAGAAAAACAGAGGGGAGAAAAAAGAAAAACAAAUGUAAAAACAAGCAAGGAAAACAAAAGAAAAAUCGGGAUGACACAUGCAACCAUUGAUGUGUGAUUACCUAUUUGUAUUUGUCUCAAAACUAACCGUUCGCUGCUAUCAUUUCCAGAGGCCACAUUUAUAGAAACAGGUGGUUAGUUUUGUGGUAAACUGGCUUCGCACCACUACUUUACUAGAUCUAAAGAUAGCGUCAGAAAUGACCCUGCCAACAAUUCCUAUUUCGGAAGAUAGUCCACUCUUGGGCGUCCCGGCCUCAGAGUCCGCAGUUGACGAAGAAAACAGAAUCUUAAAUCUGAGGGUAAUGGAGAUGUGAGACGCAUGGAUAAGUGGAAAAGAACCCUCGAGUGUCAUCCCUUGAUUUCCCGAGUUGUUCCCAAGACCAACUGGUACCUUUAACAUUCCCAUCAACCACCCUAACUUCCCGCUAGGAUAGCCUACUAUAUUCACUCAUUUCGUGGGAGCAACUUUUGAGGUCCGACCCCAGGCAUUCAUACCCGGGACAACUCCAAACAUCUUCACUGCUCCACCAUCUUCUGCUACAACACAGCCCGCAAUCCCUAGGCCUGUGUUUGAUCCAUCGACCUUCACUUAUCAAACUUCUACUUACCAGCCCGAACUUCCUCCAUACUCCGCAUAUGCUUACCCUCAGCCACCACUAUAUGAGUUUACACCGAGGCAAGACAAAACCCCUAAAGCCCCUGAGCAAGAUGAGAUGGCCAGGAGAAUGAGAAGUCAUGGACAGAGCUUAAAGAACAUGCAAGGUUUGAGCAGGCAAAAGAGUGUCUUUUAUACAAAUUUGUGUAUGUUUCCGCAUGUACAUUUGCCGCCAGGGUUCAAAACACCAAAAUUUGAAAAGUAUGACGGGCACGGCGACCCCAUUGCUCAUUGAAGAAGUAUUGCACCGGUGGCAAAGAAGAACUGUUGAUGGCAUAUUUUGUGGAAAGCUUAAUUGGUAUUGCUUCAGAGUGGUAUAUGGAUCAAGACAUAUCUCGACGGCACAUUUGGGACGAUCUUGCCCGAGAUUUUGUAAGGCAGUUUCAGUAUAACAUUGACAUCGCGCCAGACCGGAAUUCUUUGUCAAACUUGAAGAAGAAACCCUCAGAAAGCUUUAGAGAAUACGCUAUUAAAUGGUGCGAGCAAGCAUCAAAUAUAAAUGGUCACUGUCUUUCUCCAGGCACAGGAAUCAGACUACUUCCAAAACAUGAUGUCGGCCAUGGGCAAGCCUUUUGAAUAGGCCAUCAAAAUUGGUGACAUGGUAGAACACGGUUUGAAUACGGGUAGAAUGUUAAGUCAGUCAGCCAUCAGAGCAACCUCCCAAGCCAUCCAAGGCGGUUAUGGAGGAAUGGCAAAGAAUAAGAUGAGAGAAGAAACAACCAUGGUAGCAUCAGGGGGAAGAAGAUACCGGGCCGGAAGAACCCCUCAACACUACUAUCCUCACUCCGAUAUGGUCUAUGAUCCACCACCUUAUGUAGUUAUGAAUGCUCAACCUUUCGGCCGACCGCAACCACAAGCUAACAGAAAUCAACCUCCAUUCCAAAAAAACCAGCCUCCUCACCAGAACCACUAUAAUCCUUGAC